ensembl:lncRNA novel transcript
GUUGGAAUGAGCAGCUUGGGAAAGCAAUGAGAAGGCAUGAAGAAAGGAGAUAAGAAAAUGGAGGCAAAGACAGAUUGGAUAACUUGCUGAACUUGGUGGAGGAGAAGGACUUGAACUUAGCAGCCCAGCUUGAGUCUUUCUAUGUGCUGUGCUGUGCUGUCUUCCCGAAGCGGGUGCACUAGCAGUAUAACCCAAAAAGAGGUGAGAGACUGGCACAGAACAGGUACCCAGUAAAUGAAUGUGGAAUGAAUAGAGCUAGAGACCUUGGUUUCUGCAGAAAGAUCUCCAGACCUUCAGAGAAAACAUCUCACCUCAGAAGGUAUUCACUGGCCAGAUGCCACAUUCUCCUUGAAGUCAGGCUGCCCCACUGAACUCACUGGCUUUGAAGCAGAGUAAGGCCUGCUCAGGAACCCAGCGGGAAGUCUUGUGUCUGUGACCUGGGCCCCCAUGGUUAGAGUCAGGAGAUUAGAGUGUCCUUGCUCCAAAGCCAGAGAUACAGACCCAGAUUACUCA